CUGCCAGUAAUUAUAUGCUUGUCUCAAAGAUUAAGCCAUGCAAGUCUUAGUUCACACCUUCAAACGGUGAAACCGCGAAUGGCUCAUUAAAUCAGCUAUAAUUUCUUGGAUCUUAAAGUUACUUGGAUAACUGUAGUAAUUCUAGAGCUAAUACAUGAAACUGCACCCAUUAUUGGGUAGCGAAAUUAUUAGAACAAGACCAACCCGCUUCGGCGGUACUUUGGUGACUCUGGAUAACUUUCUUGAUCGCAUGACUUUAUGUCGGCGACGCAUCUUUCAAGUGGCUGACCUAUCAACUUGAUGGUGAGUUAAAUGCUCACCAUGGUUGUAACGGGUAACGGGGAAUCAGGGUUCGAUUCCGGAGAGGGAGCCUUAGAAACGGCUACCACAUCCAAGGAAGGCAGCAGGCGCGCAAAUUACCCACUCUCAGCAAGAGGAGGUAGUGACGAUAAAUAACAAUGCGGGACUCAAUACGAGGCUUCGCAAUUGGAAUGAGAACAGAAUAAAACUCUUAUCGAGUAUCAAUCAGAGGGCAAGUCUGGUGCCAGCAGCCGCGGUAAUUCCAGCUCUGAUAGCGUAUAUUAAAGUUGCUGCAGUUAAAAAGCUCGUAGUUGGAUCUCAGGUUUGAUACAGCAGUGCAGCUUCAUGGUUGUUACUGUCAGUGUCUGCCUUUCAGUGCCAGUAAGCCCCAUGGUGAGCUUAACUGUUUGCCUUGGUGGAAAUUGGCAAGUUUACCUUGAAAAAAUCAGAGUGCUUAAAGCAGGCCUUUGUGCUUGUAUGAUGGUGCAUGGAAUAAUAGAAUAGGACUUUGAUCCUAUUUUGUUGGUCUUCGGGACCAGAGUAAUGAUAAAUAGAGACUGUGGGGGGCCUUCGUAGUGCAGUGAUAGAGGUGAAAUUCUGAGACCAUUGCACGACGAACAACUGCGAAAGCAUUGGCCUACUAUGUCUUCAUUAAUCAAGAACGAAAGUCAGAGGUUCGAAGACGAUUAGAUACCGUCCUAGUUCUGACCAUAAACGAUGCCAAUCAGUGCUUACGGGUAGUUUACAUUUAUUGCUACUCGUAGGCGCCCCUGGGAAACCUCAAAUUGGUUCUGGGGGGAAUAUGGUCUCAAGGCCGAAACUUAAAGGAAUUGACGGAAGGGCACCACCAGGAGUGGAGCCUGCGGCUUAAUUUGACUCAACACGGGGAAUCUCACCCGGUCCGGACACUAGAAUGAUAGACAGAUUGAUAGCUCUUUCUUGAUUUGGUGUAUGGUGGUGCAUGGCCGUUCUUAGUUGGUGGAGUGAUUUGUCUGGUUAAUUCCGAUAACGAACGAGACUCUGUCCUGCUAAAUAGUCUGAUAGCAUGGAUUGUUUUAUCAAUCUUGGCAAUUAUUGACUUCUUAGAGGGAUUCGCGCAAUAUUAACGCGCACGAAAUAGAGCAAUAACAGGUCUGUGAUGCCCUUAGAUGUCCGGGGCCGCACGCGCGCUACAUUGACAAUGACAAAAAGUAUUACAACCUGGUCUGAAAGGAUUGGGAAAUCUUUGAAUCAUUGUCUCCACAGGGAUUGAGGUUUGCAAUUAUCCCUCAUGAACGAGGAAUUCCUAGUAGGCGCAAGUCAUCAGCUUGCGUCGACUAAGUCCCUGCCCUUUGUACACACCGCCCGUCGCUACUACCGAUUGAGUGGUUUAGUGAGGAGCUUGGACUGAAUUUUCGGAGGCUGCAAGGUCUCUGAAUUUUUGGAAAGCGCUUCAAACUGUGCUACUUAGAGGAAGUAAAAGUCGUAACAAGGUUUCUGUAGGUGAACCUGCAG
rnacentral:rRNA from 1 species